GUUCUUCCCUGGAGAAUUCCAGGGACGGCGGAGCCUGGUGGGCUGCCGUCUAUGGGGUCGCACAGAGUCGGACACGACUAAAUCGACUUAGCAGCAGCAGCAGCGUAGUGAAACAGGCCUUGGAAAUUCCCCUGCAGUCCAGUGGCUAGCACUCUGUCCUUCUACUUCAGGGCACAUGGGUUCAAUCUCUGGUAGGGGAAUUAAGAUCCCAAAGCAAUGCCAAGGGAGGGAAAAAGGCCUUAAAUUAUGUACAGACCUGUACAUGAUCUUGGACAUGUUCUGAUGUUCUUUGAUUUCUGACACAGGUUUGGAACAUCUGUGGGCUACUGACAUGGAUGUGUCCUCUAGGGAGGUGAAUAGACUCAUCUGGAGCUCAGAGAAGAACUAUGUGACCCAAAUUUACACAUUUAUAAUUACUAUGACUUACAUUUCUAUCAGCCUAUAAAAUAGAUUCCCUAAAUCGAAGGGAGGAUGUGAAGUUGACAAUGGCAACAUGCAGACGGAGACAUAAUAAGACCAAAGAUGGAAAACAAUCACAUUAGAGAGACAAAGAGCCUCCAGGAAAGACUGAGAAGGAGUAUUUUCCAAGGCAGGAUGGAAGCAUGAUGUGCAGAGAUCAAGAGAGGAGGGAACCUGAAGAAAGAGGAAACCAAUGCCACUGUCAGAUUCCUAAAGGACUGUGACAUUCCUGACCCUUGGCUGACAACCACCAACUUCCUGUGUUUCUAACCUAACUUCCCACUUUCAGCCCAUAUUAACCAUACCAGAGCCCCUAUUUCCCUGUUUCUGACCUCAGCAUGCUAACUGAACCAAAGUUAUUCAUCUCUUUUAGGAGAGUUUGACUUUGGCAGUCUCCACCCUACAUUAUUCUACAAUACCUGCCACAUAUUGAAAACCCAUCAAAACAGAUCCACAGAGAAGAGCUGAGCCCUUCUCCUCAAAAGACAACUGCAUGCACACCUAUGCUCCUGGGGAGACAAGGAAGGAGCUGGAGGGGCCUAUAUGGUCUUAAAAGAGGAAACCAGCCUCACAGAGCUAAUAAAUCCCUAGUAGGAGGCACAUACGCAUAUGUACAAAAGCUCAUGAAUAGCGUCCAUUAAGAUUUUCAAAAAGCCUUUCACAAAGUUUCACACAAAAGGCUAUUUCAGAAAUAGAGUCACCAUGGAGUGAUGGAGACUAGGGGUGAAGCAGAGGGAAGUUGCUUAGAGACAUGAAAUAAUGGUUUAGGAUUCAGGAGCUCUCCUUGGGGGAAGAAGUAUAAACAUUGGCAUUCCUCUAUGAUUAGUCUCACUUAAUGAUUUUAUGAAUUGUUUAGAGCAGUGAUUAUGAAAAGCCCAAGUAUAUAGGAAUAACCUGAAGUUAACAUGAAAAUACUGAACUGGUUUUCAUACAGGCAAAAAUAAAGUCUUGUUUUUUAUUUUGUUUAUGUAUUUAUUUAUUUAUCUGGCCACAUCGUUCAGCAAGUGGGAUCUUAGUUCCCGGGGAUCAAACUCACACCCGUGCAUUGGGAGCACAGAGUCUUAACCCACUGGACUGCCAGGGAGGUCCCCAAAUCAAGUCUUGACCUUAUGGAACAAUAAUCUAAAGGAUACUUAAAAGAUUCACUUAACAAUUCCUGAGGAUCUACUGUGUGGCCAGCUAUUGUGCUGCACGUUAGGCAGGAAAUAAUAAUUAGGAAAGCAUUUGUCCCCGUUCUUAGGGAACUUAAAUGGAACAAGAAGACGUUUCCUGAAUCUUGAGAAAAGUAAAUUUAAGGUGAAUAAAGGAAGUAGUUCAAACAAUAGGAAACACAUGGAGCUUGGUUUUCUAAACAUUAUGCUGAUAAGGUUAAAAAAUUUAAAUAUACUAAAUGUAUUUAGACAACUUUAUAAAAGCCACUGCUAUGAUGGUUUUAUUAAGGGAAGAUAGUGUAUUUGCGACCACAUCCAUAACAUCUGGAUAUAUUAGAACCAUUUUGUUGUUGCUGUUGUGAUGAAAGUGAUUAAAAACCCGAUUCAAAGCUAACUAAGAAAAGAAAAGAAAAGACUUCCUGGUGGUCCCGUGAUUAAGGCUUUGUGCUCCCAAUGCAGGGGGUCCAUGUUCCAUCACUACUCAGAAAACUCAAUCCCACGUGCCACAAUUAAGAGCCCACAUGAUGCAGUGCAGCCAAAUAAAUUUAAAAAGCAAAAGAAAAGGUAAGCCUGACUUUAGGAAGAGCUGGGCUCAGAGAGGUAGGAGAUGUACGAGGAUUUGGUGUGUUUAACUCACUCUGCACCUCUCAGCUCUGUUUUAUUCUAAGAAUUUUUUCACAUGGAGCAAAGGAGUCCUAUAUAUAGACACAGAAGACAGAAGAAUUCCAGUUUCCCACGUUUCACAGCACCUGCGAUCCUAGGAGGCCUGGUUUCUGCAGCACCUGUGUCAACUCCUGAAAAAGGACUCUCUGUGUUUCAUCCCCAAACCAGUCAUUCCGGCCACGGAGAUGCAGUAUUGUUACUGACCAGGCCGGGGACACCAUGGCUGCCCAGCCCCAAGAGCCAGGGUGAGGCGAGCUUUCAGUCUCCAGAGCCACAGAGACUGAGAAGGAGCGAGGAGUCAUUUCCCAAACAGAUGGCAGGCAGACAAAAAUAACAGAGCAUAUCCAGCUACUUCCUCUCCAUAAGAUCCUCAUGGACUGAUUUUGAUCAUGGAAAGAGUCUCUGAAAUCAGCCCCCUCUGAUCUCUGCCUCCUGGUAUUACAUUGUUCUAUGAUCCCCUCCCUUCCAUGUGGGCUGGAUUGAGUGACUCACUUCUAGAGAAGACAAUCUGGUGGAGGCGAUGGUGUGAGUUCUGAGACUGGGUGAUGAAGGACUGCAGAUUCCAUCUUAGUGGCCCCAACUUUUGCUGCCUGUCUCUUGCCUGGUUCCCUUGGGGAAGCUGGUGACCAUGUUGUUAGUCAGUUCCUAUGGAGAGGCUCAGGUUACCUAAGAACCUCUCCCUGAUGAAAAGCCUAAAUAAUCUCCAAGGAAAAAAGAAAGAGGAGAGUCCAAUAUAAAAAGAAUGUUUUGUUGAAGCCAAUUUUCUUUAGCAACAGUUUUACAAUGAAAAUAAGGAUAUUUUUAAAUGUAUAAAUCCACACUCCUGGGUAUAAACACCAGACUGAUAUCGCUCCAUUAAAAUAUCAAGCUGUAGCCUCUGUAAACUGUGUAGGUAAUAGAGAUGCGUUGAUUAACUUCAAUUCAAGUACGCAUACCUGCUACUAUUUCCAGAAGUUAAUUGCUACCCUUGGGCAUUUUAAACUUAUGUAUAGUGUUGAGUGGGAGUUUCCUGUGAUGAUUGCCCUAAUAUUUCACUGAAUUCUAAUUAGCAGCUGAUUACCAUUCCUCCUGUCACCACAUAACCCCAACUGCUGCUGUAACUUUAUUUUUUCAAAUACAACAGAAAGUCUGUCCCUAAGUUGUGUCCAAUUCUUUUGUGACCCCAUGGACUGUCGCCCGCCAGGCUCCUCUGUUCAUGGGAUUUCCCACGCAAGAAUACUGGAGUGGGUGGCUGUUUCCUUCUCCAGUGCUCAAACCUGGGUCUCCUGCUUGGCAGGUGGAUUCUUUACUAUCUGAGCCACCAAGGAAUCUCCACAACAGAGGGAGGUUCCAACAAGUUCUGCAGGGGACAAAUUUCAUUUGCUGUGAUUUCUGUAAGAUGGAGCUGUAUCCAGAAAAUUAGCAUGCUCAAUGUCGAAUCAAAACAAAGUUGAUUUGGAAUUCCCUAGGGGUCCAGUAGUUAAGAACCCGCCUGCCAAUGGGGAGGCUACGAGUUCAGUCCUUGGUCUGGGAAGAUUCCACAUGUCUCGGGGAAACUAAGCCUGUGCGCCACAGCUACUGAGCCCACACACUGGAGCCCGUGCUCUGCAACUAGAAGCCCACACUCCACGACUAGAGAGCAGCCCCCGCUUGCCAUGACAUAGAAAGCCCGUGUGAAGCAACAAAGACCUACCCAACCGAAAUAAAUACUUUAAAAAACCCCAAAAAACAAAGUUGAUUUGCUUGUGUAUUUUGGGAGACCAGUGGCUCAAAAUAAGCCUCUAAAAUGCCUCCCACCUUCUUAUGGGAUCCAGGUUUUCUUCCAAGAAAUUGGAAGCAGGACCCUUUAUUUGGAAUUCAUAGGAAUUCAAUAAAUAUUUAGAAUUUAUUACAAGUUACUGGUAAACUAGUUUUAUGAUGCAAAUCCCUUCAUCCUAAACAAUUCUCAUUCAUAUGUAUAGACAAUUCCAUGUUUUAACAUAUAUUUCAUUUGGGUGAGUUGUGUUUUGUGGUUUCUUUCCUUUUUCUUCCUUAGCUAAUUUUCUAUUACUGUUGAGGACUGCUUUACAGCUAUUUAAUUUUUUUAAUUUUUAAAAACUAUGUAUCUAUUUAUUUGACCCUGUCCGGUCUUAGUUUCGGCUCUUGGGAUCUUUGUUGCUCUGCCACACGUAGGAUCUCAGUUCCCCAACCAGGGAUUGGGCCUGUGUCCCCUGCAUUGCAAGGCAGAUUCUUAACUUCCUUGGACCACCAGGGACGUCCUGAAGCUACUUAAUUUUUGUUGUUGUUUUUCAGUUCUUAGAAAUUUAAUGAGAAAAAUUCUCUGAAUACACACGUUGAUACAAAGAUACCUCCUUAUUGCCUACAAUAAUGCCAGGAUAUAUUCAAGGUUAUUGACCCUAAGGAACUGAAGUAGUAUUGAAACGGAGCGGAACCCUGUAGUCCUUGCCCUCCAUGUUUCAGGCUGCCUUUUGUCUGUGGAAAAACUUUAUCCAAAGAAUAAGUUUAAUCAGAAAAGUGAGAAAACACAAAAAUAAAAGCAGUUGAAUAGGACAAAACAAUAAUACUUUGGCCAGUAAGCAAAGUCAAGGGCCUUUCUUUCCUCCUUAAAUGCUAUAGAUAAUAUUCUGAGCCAUAUCCUGUGAGCUGUCUUAUAGACACGGAAACCUCCUCCAGGUGGAAGAAGUUAACUCUACUGUGAUCAGACUGUAGCCACGACAUAAGCUGCAACAGUUCUGAGAAUUGGCCUCAAAGAAAUGGGAACCCAGGAACUAAAGAUUUGCUGUACUUAAAAUGAUCAAGAAGAAACUGGUCAGACCACUGAUGACCGAUUCCAAGAUGAUCAUCACCAUUGACUGUGUCGUUUCUACAUGGAGCCCCCUCCCUCCACUCCCAAAAAGCUCUUGCCCACUGGUUGUCAGGUUGGGGGAGUCAGCCUUUGGGCCUACGUCCCCCUGCCUCACCAGGUUGCCAGCAUCCAAAAUAAAGCAAGCUUUCCUUUCCACCAACCUUGCCUCUUUAUUGGCUUUUGAGCAGUGAGCAGCUAGGCCCCUUUUUAUUGCAGUAUCUGCAGGGUUAGAUGUUCUGCUGUCUGUAGGAUCUGGAGAAGAAACAGAGGUGAUAGUUCCAUCUUCCCUCCCAGGGUCAAGACCCUUGACACCCCAGUCUGGGACUGGUUUGUUUGCCCUGGACUCAUGGCCAAGCUAAGUUGGUGCCCUUGUAGCACUAUUGUGGAGGGAUUCUAUGUACCACCUUGAUUUUACAUUGAAAAGCUAAGUUUCCUUUUUUUUUUUUUAAUUUUA